CAAAAAAUAAAAAAUAUUUUUAUAUAUUUUUUUAAAAAAAUUACAUUUUUUUUAAUCUAUAACUGCUACUAAAAACAUCUAAAUUUAUCAUAACAAACAACUCUUCAUUCAUCUUCUUCUACAAAGAUUAAUUCUUCCUACUCUUACACUUUCAAUUUUAAUUUUUUUUCUCAACUUUCAAGUUUACUUUACAAAUAUUUUUAAUUUUUUUCAACAUUUUUUUUUACAAAAUCUCUCCUCAAUUUCACCACACAAAAUUUCAAUUUCAACACAAUAAUUAAUCUCUUUUUUUUUAUUUUUUUUAUUUUUAAAUAUUUUUAUUUAAUUAUUUUUAGUAUUAUUGUAUUUAUUUUUUAUAACAAUGUCGGAUGAAUUUUCUCAUAUAGAUUUUUCUUAUACUGAUUAUACUCAUGAAUAUUAUGUUAGUAAUCAAUCAGAAAUUGUGUCACGCCCCGGAUUACUCGUUUCCCCGGGCACGCCGACAAAUCCGCCGUAUACAAAAAAAAUUUUCCUGUAUACGAAGCGACAGCUGUACCUGUAAUCAAACAAUACUACAACCAAUAGUAUAGAGCUGUUAGAAGAAAUGAUAUAUAUAAAACAGAAGUUCACUAUACAUACAACAUCCUGGUGUACAAAACACUCGCUCCAGCGAGAUACAACAAAAGUAUGUAUAUGAACUCAAAAACUACCACUGCCUGUAGCUGAUAUACUCUAGCUCAGCAGCAACUGGGAAGGGAUCUAACUCGCAACUCCCUUUCCACGGUUCGUAUUAGCAGCAGCAGCAGCCGAAGAAGAAACCUCUGCAAAAGAUUCCAACAACUGGGCGUGAGAACUACUACAAAAGUAGUCCUCAGUAGGUACCGCUACCGACUUCAACGGCUCACCUACUAAGUCUACAGAUGUAAACAAGUAUAGUAAGAAAACUGAAAUAAAUCUACAGCUAUAUGCACCUAUACUAUCUUGGUCGAACACCAACAAUCUGUAGGAAAUAGUAAAGCCUGACCCAAUCUCACUAAGGACUGUGAACACACUCGUCCCGCCUG
rnacentral:lncRNA from 1 species